rnacentral:rRNA from 1 species
UACAGAGGGUGCGAGCGUUGUUCGGAAUCACUGGGCGUAAAGCGCGCGCAGGCGGGACUUGCAAGUCGGGAGUGAAAGGCCGGGGCUCAACCCCGGAGCUGCUUUCGAGACUGCGGACCUGGAGACCAGUAGGGGUUGGUGGAAUUCCCGGUGUAGCGGUGGAAUGCGUAGAGAUUAGGAAGAACACCAGUGGCGAAGGCGAUUCUCUGGACUGUAACUGACGCUGAGGCUCGAAAGCGUGGGGAGCAAACAGGAUUAGAUACCCCCGUAGU